rnacentral:rRNA from 1 species
GAUGAACGCUAGCGGCAGGCUUAAUGCAUUCAAGUCGGGGGGCAGCAUGAAGUAGCAAUACUUUGAUGGCGACCGGCAAAGGGGUGCGGAACACGUACACAACCUGCCGUUUAGUGGGGAAUAGCCCAGAGAGAUUUGGAUUAAUACCCCGUAACAAAGCGAUGUGGCAUCACAUUGCUAUUAUACCUCCUGCGCUAGAGGAUGGGUAGGCGUAUGAUUAGAUAGUUGGCGAGGUAACGGCUCACCAAGUCUACGAUCAUUAGCUGAUGUGAGAGCAUGAUCAGCCACACGGGCACUGAGACACGGGCCCGACUCCUACGGGAGGCAGCAGUAAGGAAUAUUGGUCAAUGGACGAAAGUCUGAACCAGCCAUGCCGCGUGAAGGAUUAAGGUCCUCUGGAUUGUAAACUUCUUUUAUAUGGGACGAAAAAAGGUCUUUCUAGAUCACUUGACGGUACCAUAUGAAUAAGCACCGGCUAACUCCGUGCCAGCCGCCGCGGUAAUAC